AGGCGGCCCCUUUUCGAUAAUCGAUGGAAAGAGAGGUGUUAAUUAGCUCAUAAAAUGAAUUCGUUUUACGCUCUUAGAUUCACCGAAAUAUACUUACAUCUUUAAAGCUGGUCUAGUAAUCUUAAGCACAAU
rfam:Solanum lycopersicum cultivar Heinz 1706 chromosome 7, whole genome shotgun sequence.